ensembl:lncRNA
GACCUGGCCCCCCCUUUUUUUUUAAGAUGCCGCAAAAGAGCUAAAUCCAGAGAAUUUCAGUGAAAUCACUCAAUUGCCAAAAGCUCAAAAUGGUCUUGUUAACAAGCUGGAUAUCAGUCCUAACAACAUUUCUUCUUCUCUUACAUUUUUGGAGAGCACAGGUCUAUGCCUCUGGAAAUUCAGAGGAGGAAAUAGAUUUCACGUAUGUUAUCAUAGGAGUUACUCUGGGAGCCUUUCUAGCAAUUGCUUUUGUAGUAGUAAUAAUCUGUGUGAUCAAAAAACAAAUGCUUGACAAUGUCUUUGGAGAGUCAGAUGGCAAAAUGGAUAGAAGGUCAAAUAUGGGAUCAAGUCAGAACAGGUAUGUUCCAGAGAAAGGGUGAGUCUGGUGGAGCAGGAAGGGUGGAGUGACAGUAGGAGGUAGACACACAGAGUUGGAGAGUAUUUGCAAAACCACAUUGACCAGAAUAACACAGAGAGGCAAACAGAAAAUUCGCCCAGCAAUAAGGGCUGUGGGGUUACCCGAGUUCCUAACAGGGUAGGUGCCCAGAGCACCCAGAUCUGCCUGCAGCUAUGCCACAGACACUCCACAUGGCCUGAGGUAAGUCAUUUAAUAGCCUUGUCCUCCUGAUUCCCAGCUGUAAACCUGGAAUAAGGUAACUUAAGGCCCAGGCAUAUUGCAAGGCUCUCUGCUUUAUGGCUUGGCUGUACUGCAAGGCCACUACCCCCACAUUAGUGGCUGCUCCAAGGAGUAACCUUGCAGCCACGGGAUGGAUCGAGGAGCUGCUGAGCUGCUCCCUCCCUGUGUGUCAGGGCGAUACCAGGGGAGCAGAGGAAACGGUGAUGCGUCCUGAGUCUGUAACACUGCUGUAGGAUACAAAGACCCCUCUAGAGGUGUUUCUCUCCACUGAUUACUGAGGAAUCCUAGAUAAAAUCUAGGAAUCUACAUUUUAGACAGCUAAGUUCGAAGAGACGAAUCCCUUCGUACUUCUAAAGCAUUCUAGAAACGUUAACUAACCUUCACAAUCUUCAGAGGAAAGCAGAUCAGCUAGUACUGUCACCUGCUGGCUACUGGAGAAAAGGAAACCCAGAGGCAAAACCAUACAGCAAAGCCACACAUCGAGGCAGCUUCAAAGAGGCGGUCAGGCCACAUGACUUCCCAUUUUCUGCCUCUGCACUGUAAGCAGUCCUCCGAGCAGGAUGCUGCCUUAAAACGCACUCACUGCUCACUGCAGGUGGAUUCCUACAUGGUAGUGAAGAGGGCAGCUGGAAGUCACCACAGCCAGAAUCAUACUUUUGUUCUGUUAGUUCACUUAGGAAAAACAAAUACUCCAAAGAUACAAAGAAACAUGUAGGAAAAAAAGUUAAGCAAAAGGAACUUCAUGAACGUAACUACAGCAGCUCCAAUAACAAUUUUGUAGAUUCCCUGUGAUUUUUAUCUCUCUGUCUCCUAAUUCUACUUUUACAAUGAUGCUAUAGAUCAUUCCAGGUUAAAAAAAAAAAAGCCAGAAGUUACUGUUAACUUGCAAUGUUUUUUCUUUUUUCUUUUCAGAGAAGAUGUCAACAUAUCAGGGCAAAAAAGUACAAAUGAUCAAUAAUCCUUUUGCAAUCGACAGCUACCUGGUCUGAGGAUCAAUGGAAAUCUCUUGUCCACAGGCAGGAAUCUCACCAAUAACAAUUCCUUUGCUUGUUCUGUAAUUGAAAGACUGACUGAUUACAGGAAGAGUUUAUAGUGUAUGCUAACUUCAAUCAACUGCACACAAAAAGCCUGCAAUCCUCAAUACCAUGUAUAGGAACAAAAUGUAUGAGGGAAAUAGAAAAGACGAGCUCUGCUCAUUAAUAGGCCCUGUUCAGCCUGGGAUAAGUGUAUGACUGAUUUAUAAAAUCAAUUAAAUCCAGAGUAAUCAAGAAGCUAGCAGCAUAUUUCAGCAGCAGAAUUCAAAGCCAAACUUAUAUUUCCUGUAAGGCAAAUAAUGAAUGAAGAGACUCAGAAAAUCAGUUAGUUGAGGUCAAGCAAAACAAGAUUUCUCAAGUUUUUCAGGAAAAAUGUUUUGUGUUGAUCUAAAAAUAUUUCAUUCACGCUAAAGUGAUAUCUCUUCUUAGCUUUAGGAUUUGCUUCUUUUGUUUAACUUUAGCCUGUGAUGCUAAUUUCAGUCAUUUUAAAUGACCUAGGGUAAUUUAAAAUGAAAAACACUGCUUUGAAAUGAAGUUUUAAUGUCUUAGUUUUAGAACCUUGAAAUCAAAAUAGUUUUGUAUACCCAAAAUAAAGAGUUUCUGGACAUCUGAAAUGAAACGUUU